GAGGCGCUGGUCUGCGGUGGUGUGACGGCGCUGCCGGUGCCGGAACGUCUCGGCGGCGACGGCGUGGGCCUAUUCGAAGUCGGCGCGCUGCUC
rnacentral:tRNA from 4 species